GGGCCCAUAGGUAAACGGUAUACCGCGUCGUUCGCAUCGACGAGUUCGGAGUUCAAUUCUCCGUGGGUCCACAA
rnacentral:tRNA from 2 species